GAUUGCCUCAGCACAGGCCCCAGGACUCUGUCAUAUGCUUUGAUGUAUGACCAUGAACUCCUGGAUGGAUGCUUGGCUAUGUUUCUCUAGGUUCAAAAGAAAGAGGAGUGAAGAGGAGUAAAACACACAUCUAUUAAAAAGCAAGAAGAUUAAAUAAAUUGAAGCUUUUUAUUUCUCUUUCUCUGCCUAAGGACCCAGUGGCUGUCUUGAUGUCUCACAGCAGGAAGAGACUCUCUCAAAUAGGUGUACACAUGGGGAGAGAGAGAGCAAGGAGACUGAGAUACAAUCAGCCACCAGCAAGUUGUCUUGAUUUUCUGAAUGGAGCGUGGUAGCAUGUUAUAGAGUCCAAGGAAUUUGCCAAAUCCGUGUGAGAAGAUUUGCCUCUCACAUGUGAGAGAAUUUUUUGAGAAAAAAAAGAUCCUGACCCCGUCCCUCUGCCACCACCCGAGUGAGGAAGACUGACAGAGCACAUUGGCUUGCUGUGGAGACAAGAUCAGGGAAAGCGCCCCUGAAAAGAAAGCAUUUUGGAAGUCCUGAAGGUGGAGAAGGAGAUUUAGAGGAAGAGUGAUAAAUCAGAAGUCUUCGUCCAAGAAUUAGCUUUGCACCAUCUACAGACCUAAGCAGCUGCAGUCCUGGAACUGUGUGAUAACUUGCCCAGAAAAUCUUCUUGUGGAAUCUGUCUUUACAUGGAAAAGACUUGGCAAUAUUUGUACAGCAACUGGAAGAAAGGUCUUUGCUGAGAUAUACAAAGAGGCAGAAUGUGUGUGGAUCACCG
rnacentral:lncRNA from 1 species